GAUGAACGCUAGCUACAGGCUUAACACAUGCAAGUCGAGGGGAAACGAUAGGGAAAGCUUGCUUUUCCUAGGCGUCGACCGGCGCACGGGUGAGUAACGCGUAUCCAACCUGCCCAUGUCUGGGGAAUAACCCGUCGAAAGGCGGACUAACUCCCCAUGGUCUCCGAUGAGGACAUCUGAAUUGGAGUAAAGCUUCGCGGACAUGGAUGGGGAUGCGUCUGAUUAGGUAGUAGGCGGGGUAACGGCCCACCUAGCCUACGAUCAGUAGGGGUUCUGAGAGGAAGGUCCCCCACAUUGGAACUGAGACACGGUCCAAACUCCUACGGGAGGCAGCAGUGAGGAAUAUUGGUCAAUGGACGAGAGUCUGAACCAGCCAAGUAGCGUGCAGGAUGACGGCCCUAUGGGUUGUAAACUGCUUUUGCGCGGGGAUAACACCCUCCAC
rnacentral:rRNA from 1 species